AUUGGAUGAGCCCGCGGCCUAUCAGCUAGUUGGUGAGGUAGUGGCUCACCAAGGCGACGACGGGUAGCCGGCCUGAGAGGGCGACCGGCCACACUGGGACUGAGACACGGCCCAGACUCCUACGGGAGGCAGCAGUGGGGAAUAUUGCGCAAUGGGCGAAAGCCUGACGCAGCAACGCCGCGUGCGGGAUGAAGGCCUUCGGGUUGUAAACCGCUUUCAGCAGGGAAGAAGCGAAAGUGACGGUACCUGCAGAAGAAGCACCGGCUAACUACGUGCCAGCAGCCGCGGCCGAAU
rnacentral:rRNA from 1 species